rnacentral:rRNA from 1 species
CCUACGGGAGGCUGCAGUGGGGAAUAUUGGGCAAUGGAGGGAACUCUUACCCAGCAAUGCCGCGUGAGUGAAGAAGGUAUUCGGAUUGUAAAGCUCUUUCAUUGGGGACGAAAAAAAUGACGGUAGCCAAGGAAUAAGCGCCGGCUAACUACGUGCCAGCAGCCGCGGUACUACGUAGGGGGCAAGCGUUGUUCGGAAUGACUGGGCGUAAAGGGUGAGUCGGCGGUGUAGCAAGUUAGAAGUGAAAUACCCAGGGCUUAACUCAGGUGCUGCUUCUAAAACUGCUAGACUUGAGUGCAGUAGAGGAAAGUGGAAUUCCUAGUGUAGCGGUGGAAUGCGUAGAUAUUAGGAGGAACAUCAGUGGCGAAGGCGACUUUCUGGACUGUAACUGACGCUGAGGCACGAAAGUGUGGGGAGCAAACAGGAUUAGAUACCCCGGUAGUC